AGACUCCUACGGGAGGCAGCAGUGAGGAAUAUUGGGCAAUGCUCGAAAGAGUGACCCAGCAACGCCGCGUGGAGGAUGAAGGUAUUCUAUAUCGUAAACUCCUGUGAGAGCAGACGAAAGACAGAUUAUUAAUCUGGAUGACUGUAUGCUCAGAGGAAGCCCCGGCUAACUACGUGCCAGCAGCCGCGGUAAUACGUAGGGGGCAAGCGUUGUCCGGAUUCACUGGGUGUAAAGGGCGCGUAGGCGGGAUAGCAAGUCAGUGGUGAAAUCUUGCAGCUCAACUGCAAAACUGCCAUUGAUACUGCUGUUCUUGAAUGUGGAAGAGAGAGGCGGAAUUCCAGGUGUAGUAGUGAAAUACGUAGAUAUCUGGAAGAACACCAAAUUGCGAAGGCUGCUUCUUGGUCCAUUAUUGACGCUGAGGCGCGAAAAGCGUGGGGAGCAAACAGGAUUAGAUACCCUGGUAGUCCACGCUGUAAACGAUGAGUGCU
rnacentral:rRNA from 1 species